AUUAAUCGAGUAGCUUAUCAAGCUUUCCAGUCGAGUCGGAUUGAGCUCCAACUCGAGCUCGAUAAUUAUACGAGCUCGAUUGUAAGCUUGAGCUCGAAGUUCGAUUAGCUCGGCUCGCGAGCUCGUUAACGAGUCGAGUUCAAGCCGGCUCACGAGUCGGCUCGGCUCACUUACACCCCUAGUCUGAAGUGGGGGAGAGGGUGUUCUUGAAGCUUCGACCGUACAGGCAUAAGACAAUCAUGAAGAGGAAUGAAAAGCUGGCGCCUAGGUACUUUGGAUAGUAUGAGGUAUUUGAGAAAAUAGAAGCAAUAGCGUACCUUCUGAAAUUACCACCAACGGUGAUUAUACAUCCGGUUUUCCAUGUAUCCCAGCUGAGAAGAGCCAUUGUAGAUUAUACAGCCAGACCAAAGUUACCGGUGACACUCACGGAGGAUUUAGAGGUGAUUCUAGAACCUUUAGAGUUGAUGGGAUUCGCUAGAAAGGAGACGGAGCUAAAGAAGUGCUAAUCAAGUGGAAAAACCUGCCGGAAUACGCUGCCACGUGGGAACCCUAUGAGAGGGUGAAACAUCAGUUUCCCAAUUUUCACCUUAAGGACAAGGGCUUCUUUGGGAAGGGGGUAUUGUUACGAAUCAGCCCAGGAGGGGCCCGUUUGGACGUACAGGAUUCAGGCUAAACCUCCUCCUCUUAAACCCACUGCUUAAGCGGGUGGGUCCCACCUCCUUGGGUGGCAAUAAGAGAGAGAGGAGGGGGGCGGAUUAUGCAUGAGGGCACUUUGAAAUAAAAUUAUAUUAGGAAGCUUUUUAUUAGGGAGGAUGGUAUUUAAAGAGGAUGAGAGGCUAGGGUUAGGGCAUGCAUAAUUUGAGUUUUUCUUUUGUCCUUGGUGUCCUUGGCUCUAGAUCUACAAUCUAGAGAUUUGGAGAGACGACCGUCCUCUCGAAUUGAGGAUCAUUUGUAUCUUGCUUUGAGUUUUGUUUUGCUUUAAUUCCAUUAUCGCAAUCUAUCUUUUCUAGAUUGAUUUCUUUCAGAUUUGUAUUUUUCUCGCUGUUUUGGAUCAAUUAUUACUAGGGUUGCUUGCCAACUCAAGUAUUUCCUCUUGGAUUACUUGCGAACUCAAGUAUUUCCUAUCGUGAUACACCUCAAAGUAGGACUCCUUUCAUUUCACGAAUUUUUUUAGCAUUUUGAAGGCAUUUUAUUGGAUUCAUAAAAUUUCUUAUUCUCUUGGUGUGUUUCCUUUUCCAACCUCUUUUAUUAGAUUGCUUGAAGCACCUUAUAUAUUUUGGAAAACAAGCUUGAUAACUUUUAUUUUUUAUUUGUAAUUUUUCAGACUUUUAUAUUUUAUUUUUUAUGGAUGCAAACGUAUUACUGGAAUGAUUGCUUGUGUUCUGUAAAUAUCGCAUAUCGUAGAAAGCUUCUUUUUUUUUUUUUUUAAACAACUGUCGAUUUUGAUUGCUAAUAUGCAUGUUGUAGUUAUUUUCCUCUAUGUAUCCUGAGGUGGAGUUUCUUCCUAAAACCAAAGUUCCUGAGAACGUUGAUGAGGAUGAUUCGUUUUCGUAGUAAUGAAGUGAAGGGCCAUGAGCAUUCACACUUUUCAACAUAAGAACGUGAGACACGCUGAUUUUGAGAUAAUGCUCUUAAUUGUUUGACAAGUUGUUGCUGCCUUGUGCCUGAGCAAAAUUUUCUUUCUUCCAAUGAUAUUUCUGCUCUUGCACUUGGUGGCUUUAAAUGUUGGUCUGAACUCCAGAAAGUCCGUCAUUACCAUGCAUUAUUAUGUGUGAUCGUCAGUGCUGGGCGAAGAGAGAGAAGCUCCAAGAUUCUAGAGAGAGAAAGCUUUUCAAACUUGUCUUUUUUCCGAUUUGGCGGGCCCUUCUGGGAUGCCGGCGGGUGGCCCGGCUGCGGUCGCCGACGGCGAAGCUACUGAUGGCUUCGGUUCUGUGAAUGUGAUGAUGUCUGGUCGUCCUGCUAAGAAUGGGAAUCUGGUGAUCCGGACCUUCUGUUCCAAAGGCGAUCUCCCCUGUUCUUGUUCAGGGUAAAGGAAAGGAAAUUUUGGAUUCAAGGGUGGAUUCAGGUUCACCCAUUUCUGGUCUUAAAAUUAAAUCUACUGAUGGUGAAAUGUCUUCAUCUUCUGGUAUGAAGAUUUUUGUCAAUCAUUUUGGCAAUUCGUUAAAAGGAAACGACAGUUCUUCAGACCUCCCUUCAAUUCUAAAUUCUAAAGAUUGCUCCUCAA